GAGUUUGAUCUUGGCUCAGAUUGAACGCUGGCGGCAUGCCUUACACAUGCAAGUCGAACGGCAGCACGGGAGCUUGCUCCUGGUGGCGAGUGGCGAACGGGUGAGUAAUGCAUCGGAACGUAUCCUGGAGUGGGGGAUAACGUAGCGAAAGUUACGCUAAUACCGCAUAUUCUGUGAGCAGGAAAGCGGGGGACCUUCGGGCCUCGCGCUCUUGGAGCGGCCGAUGUCGGAUUAGCUAGUUGGUGAGGUAAAGGCUCACCAAGGCGACGAUCCGUAGCAGGUCUGAGAGGAUGAUCUGCCACACUGGAACUGAGACACGGUCCAGACUCCUACGGGAGGCAGCAGUGGGAAUUUUGGACAAUGGGGGCAACCCUGAUCCAGCCAUGCCGCGUGAGUGAAGAAGGCCUU
rnacentral:rRNA from 2 species